rnacentral:SRP_RNA from 1 species
AUUGUUAAGCAUCACAACGUGUGGUACGAACCGUGUUAGGGUAGAAAUACAGCAGCACUAAGUUAAAGCACGUGUGUGGUGCUUUUUUGUUUGUCU